AUUGAACGCUGACGGCAGGCCUAACACAUGCAAGUCGAACGGUAACAGGAAGCAGCUUGCUGCUUCGCUGACGAGUGGCGGACGGGUGAGUAAUGUCUGGGAAGCUGCCUGAUGGAGGGGGAUAACUACUGGAAACGGUAGCUAAUACCGCAUAAUGUCGCAAGACCAAAGAGGGGGACCUUCGGGCCUCUUGCCAUCGGAUGUGCCCAGAUGGGAUUAGCUUGUUGGUGGGGUAACGGCUCACCAAGGCGACGAUCCCUAGCUGGUCUGAGAGGAUGACCAGCCACACUGGAACUGAGACACGGUCCAGACUCCUACGGGAGGCAGCAGUGGGGAAUAUUGCACAAUGGGCGCAAGCCUGAUGCAGCCAUGCCGCGUGUAUGAAGAAGGCCUUCGGGUUGUAAAGUACUUUCAGCGGGGAGGAAGGGAGUAAAGUUAAUACCUUUGCUCAUUGACGUUACCCGCAGAAGAAGCACCGGCUAACUCCGUG
rnacentral:rRNA from 1 species